ensembl:snRNA U6 U6 spliceosomal RNA
GUACUAACUUCAGCAGCACAUAUACGAAAAUUGGAAUGAUAUAGAGAAGAUUAGCAUGGCCUCUGUGCAAGGAUGACAUUCAAAUUUGUGAAGCAUUCCAUAUUUUU